AGUGAACGCUGGCGGUAGGCCUAACACAUGCAAGUCGAACGGCAGCACAGUAAGAGCUUGCUCUUACGGGUGGCGAGUGGCGGACGGGUGGGGAAUACAUCGGAAUCUACUUUUUCGUGGGGGGUAACGUAGGGAAACUUACGCUAAUACCGCAUAGGACCUACGGGUGAAAGCAGGGGAUCUUCGGACCUUGCGCGAUUGAGUUAGCCGAUGUCGGAUUAGCUAGUUGGCGGGGUAAAGGCCCACCAAGGCGACGAUCCGUAGCUGGUCUGAGAGGAUGAUCAGCCACACUGGAACUGAGACACGGUCCAGACUCCUACGGGAGGCAGCAGUGGGGAAUAUUGGACAAUGGGCGCAAGCCUGAUCCAGCCAUACCGCGUGGGUGAAGAAGGCCUUCGGGUUGUAAAGCCCUUUUGUUGGGAAAGAAAAGCAGCAGGUUAAUACCCCGCUGUUCUGACGGUACCCAAAGAAUAAGCACCGGCUAACUUCGUG
rnacentral:rRNA from 1 species